AUUGAACGCUGGCGGCAGGCCUAACACAUGCAAGUCGAGCGGAUGAAGGGAGCUUGCUCCUGGAUUCAGCGGCGGACGGGUGAGUAAUGCCUAGGAAUCUGCCUGGUAGUGGGGGAUAACGUCCGGAAACGGGCGCUAAUACCGCAUACGUCCUGAGGGAGAAAGUGGGGGAUCUUCGGACCUCACGCUAUCAGAUGAGCCUAGGUCGGAUUAGCUAGUUGGUGGGGUAAAGGCCUACCAAGGCGACGAUCCGUAACUGGUCUGAGAGGAUGAGCAGUCACACUGGAACUGAGACACGGUCCAGACUCCUACGGGAGGCAGCAGUGGGGAAUAUUGGACAAUGGGCGAAAGCCUGAUCCAGCCAUGCCGCGUGUGUGAAGAAGGUCUUCGGAUUGUAAAGCACUUUAAGUUGGGAGGAAGGGCAGUAAGUUAAUACCGUGCUGUUUUGACGUUACCAACAGAAUAAGCACCGGCUAACUUCGUG
rnacentral:rRNA from 1 species